ncrna:unclassified sequences Hatchet ribozyme sequence
GUCUUUAAGGUGAGAAUCCUUGACAAUCCUGUGGGGCUUAUAUCUAUCAAAAGAACUUACAGCAGCUUUUAUAUUAGCUUAGCUGGACUUUAUGAUAGUAUUAGUGCAGACGUUAAAAUCAGGA